CCUACGGGCGGGCAGCAGUGAGGAAUAUUGGUCAAUGGACGAGAGUCUGAACCAGCCAAGUAGCGUGAAGGAUGACUGCCCUAUGGGGUGUAAACUUCUUUUAUAUGGGAAUAAAAUGUUCCACGUGUGGGAUAUUGUAUGUACCAUAUGAAUAAGGAUCGGCUAAGUCCGUGCCAGCAGACGCGGUAAUACGGAGGAUUCGAGCGUUAUCCGGAUUUAUUGGGUUUAAAGGGAGCGUAGGUGGAUGGUUAAGUCAGUUGUGAAAGUUUGCGGCUCAACCGUAAAAUUGCAGUUGAAACUGGCAGUCUUGAGUGCAGUAGAGGUAGGCGGAAUUCGUGGUGUAGCGGUGAAAUGCUUAGAUAUCACGAAGAACUCCAGUUGCGAAGGCAGUUCACUGGACUGCAACUGACACUGAGGCUCGAAAGUGUGGGUAUCAAACAGGAUUAGAGACCCCAGUAGUC
rnacentral:rRNA from 1 species